rnacentral:rRNA from 1 species
AUGAACGCUAGCGGCAGGCUUAACACAUGCAAGUCGAGGGGCAGCAUAAUGGAUAGCAAUAUCUAUGGUGGCGACCGGCGCACGGGUGCGUAACGCGUAUGCAACCUACCUUUAACAGGGGGAUAACACUGAGAAAUUGGUACUAAUACCCCAUAAUAUCAUAGAAGGCAUCUUUUAUGGUUGAAAAUUCCGAUGGUUAGAGAUGGGCAUGCGUUGUAUUAGCUAGUUGGUGGGGUAACGGCUCACCAAGGCGACGAUACAUAGGGGGACUGAGAGGUUAACCCCCCACACUGGUACUGAGACACGGACCAGACUCCUACGGGAGGCAGCAGUGAGGAAUAUUGGUCAAUGGACGCAAGUCUGAACCAGCCAUGCCGCGUGCAGGAUGACGGCUCUAUGAGUUGUAAACUGCUUUUGUACGAGGGUAAACGCAGAUACGUGUAUCUGUCUGAAAGUAUCGUACGAAUAAGGAUCGGCUAACUCCGUGCCAGCAGCCGCGGUAAUACGGAGGAUUCAAGCGUUAUCCGGAUUUAUUGGGUUUAAAGGGUGCGUAGGCGGUUUGAUAAGUUAGAGGUGAAAUUUCGGGGCUCAACCCUGAACGUGCCUCUAAUACUGUUGAGCUAGAGAGUAGUUGCGGUAGGCGGAAUGUAUGGUGUAGCGGUGAAAUGCUUAGAGAUCAUACAGAACACCGAUUGCGAAGGCAGCUUACCAAACUAUAUCUGACGUUGAGGCACGAAAGCGUGGGGAGCAAACAGGAUUAGAUACCCUGGUAGUCCACACAGUAAACGAUGAAUACUCGCUGUUUGCGAUAUACAGUAAGCGGCCAAGCGAAAGCAUUAAGUAUUCCACCUGGGGAGUACGCCGGCAACGGUGAAACUCAAAGGAAUUGACGGGGGCCCGCACAAGCGGAGGAACAUGUGGUUUAAUUCGAUGAUACGCGAGGAACCUUACCCGGGCUCAAACGCAGGGGGAAUAUAUAUGAAAGUAUAUAGCUAGCAAUAGUCACCUGCGAGGUGCUGCAUGGUUGUCGUCAGCUCGUGCCGUGAGGUGUCGGGUUAAGUCCCAUAACGAGCGCAACCCCUACCGUUAGUUGCCAUCAGGUGAAGCUGGGCACUCUGGCGGGACUGCCGGUGUAAGCCGAGAGGAAGGUGGGGAUGACGUCAAAUCAGCACGGCCCUUACGUCCGGGGCUACACACGUGUUACAAUGGUAGGUACAGAGGGCAGCUACCCAGCGAUGGGAUGCGAAUCUCGAAAGCCUAUCUCAGUUCGGAUUGGAGGCUGAAACCCGCCUCCAUGAAGUUGGAUUCGCUAGUAAUCGCGCAUCAGCCAUGGCGCGGUGAAUACGUUCCCGGGCCUUGUACACACCGCCCGUCAAGCCAUGGGAGCCGGGGGUGCCUGAAGUUCGUGACCGCAAGGAGCGACCUAGGGCAAAACUGGUGACUGGGGCU